rnacentral:lncRNA from 1 species
UGAAAGCUGAGUUUCAGAGCCUGCUGUGCUCAAAGUCACUUUUAAACCAACUCUUCACUUUGUGGCACGGAUGUAGCCUGAGGGUUUCAGCAUGCUGAAGGCACACAGCUGAGUGCCUGAGGACUGCUUACAUCACCUAACACGACCUCAGUGGUCAAUCUGUGGUUAGCACUGAGUCACAGUGAGCAUUUAAAACCACUUGCUCUGGUGGGCUCCUGCUUACUUUCACUAGCGACACGUGCUGCAAAACUGAAACCAACAAAGGUUUUGCCUCAGAAGAGGAGAAGGCAGGGAGAGCUGACUGGAUCAAUCUGUGAUAGGAGAAAAGGCAUUCAUGAAGGUCAGAC